UAGUCCACACCGUAAACGCUGUCUACUAGCUGUUUGUGAGUUUAACUCGUGAGUAGCGAAGCUAACGCGCUAAGUAGACCGCCUGGGGAGUACGGUCGCAAGAUUAAAACUCAAAUGAAUUGACGGGGGCCCGCACAAGCGGUGGAGCAUGUGGUUUAAUUCGAUGCAACGCGAAGAACCUUACCUACCCUUGACAUCCUCAGAACUUGUCAGAAAUGACUUGGUGCCUUCGGGAACUGAGUGACAGGUGCUGCAUGGCUGUCGUCAGCUCGUGUCGUGAGAUGUUGGGUUAAGUCCCGCAACGAGCGCAACCCUCGUCCUUAGUUGCUACCAUUUAGUUGGGCACUCUAAGGAAACCGCCGGUGAUAAGCCGGAGGAAGGUGGGGAUGACGUCAAGUCCUCAUGGCCCUUACAGGGCUGGGGCUACACACGUGCUACAAUGGCGGUGACAGUGAGCAGCGACCCCGC
rnacentral:rRNA from 1 species